rnacentral:rRNA from 1 species
CCUACGGGGGGCAGCAGUGAGGAAUAUUGGUCAAUGGCCGAGAGGCUGAACCAGCCAAGUCGCGUGAGGGAAGACGGCCCUACGGGUUGUAAACCUCUUUUGUCGGGGAGCAAAGCGAACCACGUGUGGUUCAUUGAGAUUACCCGACGAAAAAGCAUCGGCUAACCCCGUUCCAGCAGCCGCGGUAAUACGGAGGAUGCGCUCGUUAUCCGGAUUUAUUGGGUUUAAAGGGUGCGCAGGCGGAGGUGCAAGUCAGCGGUCAAAUUGCGGGGCUCAACCCCGUACUGCCGUUGAAACUGCAGCCCUUGAGGGCACGAGAAGUAUGCGGAAUGCGUGGUGUAGCGGUGAAAUGCAUAGAUAUCACGCAGAACACCGAUUGCGAAGGCAGCAUACCGGCGCGCAACUGACGCUCAUGCACGAAAGCGUGGGUAUCGAACAGGAUUAGAUACCCCAGUAGUC